UUCUGAUCUAUUAACCUGUAUAUUUUCAGUCCAACAUUUGAAUUUGUGCAACAAGCUCCCCUAAAACAUUGGAUUAAUCUUUGCAUCAUCAGAACGGAUGAACCUGAGUUGCACUUUGCAGCCCUACAACAAUGGCCGACUGCAUGCCAGAUAACACCACCAAGGUGAUGCAGAAUCCAAAGACCGACGUGCCGGAUGGGAGCAAAGUUUCGUCUGAGUCCGCAACAGUGAUCAAAGUGAGACCUGCAGACCUGGGACUGCUUCGAAGCUUGUCAAAGUCAGACUCUGACUUGUUGUCAUCCCCGGUCGGAGAGGAGGACGGAGGUCUGGCUAACUGCAGUGGGUCUGUGGCUAACUGCAAUUCUGGGAAGCCAUCAAUGGAGCGCAUGCCUUCCUUUGCAUCUGAGUGGGAUGAGAUUGAGAAGAUAAUGACGUUGAUUGGGGCUGGCAUUGAAACAACCAAAAGCAAGCAGCCCAAACCAAGCCCAGAUGGGGCCUGUGGUAAAGCCCUGGACCAGCCGGUCGGAGAGUGGCUGGAGCACGUGGGGCUGCCGCAGUACGAGAGCAAGUUCCUGCUUAAUGGCUUUGAUGACCUACGAUUCAUGGGAAGUAACGUGAUGGAGGACCAAGAUUUAAGAGACAUGGGGAUCACUGACCCAGGACACAGGAAGAAAAUCCUCCAUGCAGCGCGCAGCUUACCCAAGGUAAAACCACUGGGUUGUGAUGGCAGCACAUCUUUAUCCUCUUGGUUGGACGUCCUUGGCCUGCAUGAGUAUCUUCCCAACUUUCUGUCUAACGGCUACCGAACCCUGGAGUGUGUAAAGAAUUUGUGGGAGCUGGAGAUUGUCAAUGUUAUUAAGGUUGGGCCCUUAGGCCACAGGAAGAGGAUUAUUGCGUCUCUAGCAGAGAGACCCUAUGAAGAAGCUCCCUCUAAAUCUCGUCGGCUGUCCCCAAUCAUGUUCCAUGACCUCCUGUCCCAGACCACCUCGCCCCUCAGUCAGUUGGACCCCUACACCAGUCGCUCCAUGGACAUGCUCCUCCCGCUCACCGAGUCAGACCGGAGGCGAAGGGCAGUCGACCAAGACUGUAGUAUUUCCCUGCGAUCCUAUAAUGAGAGGCCGCGCUCUGUAGACAGACACAGUGAACGACAUAAAGAGUCUCGUUUAAACCCUCGGCCGCCGAGCCACUCUGCCACGUACGCCACCGUGUCCGCCUGGCAUCACCAGCCAGAGAAGCUCAUCCUGGACUCCUGCAGGUACGAGGCAACAUAUUUAGGGUCAUUGAUAAUCAGGGAUUUACGAGGAAUUGAAUCCACACAAGACGCCUGUGCUAAAAUUAGGAAAUCAAAGGAUUCCAAAAAGGGCCCAGUGGUCAUACUGUCCAUUACCUACAGAGGUGUCAAGUUCAUUGAUGCUGCCACUAAGACUAUUGUUGCAGAGCAUGAAAUCAGAAACAUCUCGUGUGCAGCCCAGGACCCAGAUGAUCUCUGUACGUUUGCUUACAUCACCAAGGAUUCAAAGAGUGGCCACCACUUCUGUCAUGUCUUCAGUACUGUGGAAGUCAUCCAAACCUAUGAGAUCAUCUUAACACUGGGACAGGCAUUCGAGGUGGCUUAUCAGAUGGCAGUUCAGUCCAGGGCGAGACAGUAUGUGCCUCCAACGUCUCUGGGCUCAGAGUUCAUAGAACCCAAAACCAGCCGCCCAGUGUCUCAAUCAUGGAACAGCGUGAGAAGAUCAGCGGGUGCCCCUCUGCUCGAUUGCCGCUGCUGUCACUGUCACACGUGUACUACCCACCGUCCUUCCUUCCUCCCGUUGCACUCUGUUAGCCCUGGAAUCCAGAUCGACCCCUUGGAGAUGGACGCCGACAUGCAGUCGCUAGGCAGCACCACCUGGCUCUGUGACCAGCGGGACUCCAACAGGCGUCCCGUCAGCACCAAGUACGAGACCACCAUAUUCUGAGGCCGGACCCCCCUACCCCCAAAGCUGCCCUUCCUCACUGCACCUCCCUCGUACUUUUUCCUCUAUCCUUGCAUCCGGUUCUCCGCUCAUCUCUUUCUCUCACUGAGAAACACACACACACACGCACACACACACACACUCAGAGAGAUAUAUACAUGUCAGCCCCGUGCCUUCUCACUGUGAUGGUAUAGCAUCCCUCAGGGCUGCCUCCUCCUGCACCUUCCUUUGCCCUGCCCAGCAACCUACGCUGACCUCCUACGUGCCAUGACAAACACUUCUGUGGCUCUCCCGAGCUCCCCCAAAAUCCUCGGCAGCCUCCCUCGCCUGUUGCUGCUGCAGCCAAUGGCGGAGCCCUGGAACGGAUGAUCUUGGACUGAUCUUAUUUUACAGUGGCCCUGCUCUCUCAACCAAACUGCCUCUUCCUACUCAUCUUCCUCAUCCUGACAACUUGCAUCUGCCUCCAAAUCCCCGAUAGCUCCCAGAGCCUGUCCUGUCUUACCAGGCAUCUACCACUGUGAGGCACUAUGAGGAGGAGGAUGCUUUGCUAGCAUGGGAUGCAAGAUGGACAAACAUAUAUAUAUAUAUAUAUAUAUAUAUAUAUAUAUAAGUGAAAGACAAAAACAGCAACAUGCAGCAAACAACCUGUAUUUUUUUACUCAUUUGUACAGUACUCAUAGUAAGACCACAAAUGGAUUGGUCACAAAUCUAUCACUGAUGUCUGAACUGAAAGCGGACUAAGAACUGAAACCUCCACAUGAUAUUGCGGUAACUAUAAUCAACUGAAAAUCCCACCUGAGCCCCUAUCCUGCCAAACUCUGCCACCCAACAGCUGCACGCCUCAAACCAGUUUUUAAAGGACAGAAACGGUAAAAAAAAAAAAAAAAAAAGCUACAUUUUGGAUUUCCUGCUGUAUCUAACUGUGACUGCCUGAGAAGAUGUUGCUUAGAUAAUGGUACAGGUUUGUUGAGAUGAGUCUGGCCUUGUACUGCUUUAAUGGUAGCACUGACAGCCUGCAAAUCUUCCUCAUUUAAAAAAAAAAGAACUACAAGCACUGUGUUUAAAAAAAAGCACUAUCCCUUUUAAAACAUUGUUUCCCUACAGUGCAAAUGGAGUAUUAGUGCAUUUUGUGAUACUUUUUGUAAAGAAGGGAGGUAACUAAAAACAGACCAUAGGUAUCCCAACAUGAGCUAAAAUAUUAAAGACAAUACUACAAAAAAGAAAAAAAUGAGCAUAUUUAGCAUAUUGAUAAUAGUCCCAUGUUUCACUUAUUUUUGUAAUCUACACUUAAAGAUAAUUUCUUUAAAUAGAUAGCUUAGAACUUUUGAAGUGAGGUUAUGCUGAAAAGAAUAAGCCGUUAAAGUCUUACCCAUCGUUUGGUGUCUUCAUUUACUACAAAUCCAAAUGAGUUGGUUCCUAAGGCUGAAGCCAAUAGGUGGUUUGAGUGGGGCACAGACCAAAUUGGACUUUUCCUUCCUUAAACAACACCUAAGUGAAAAAGGUCACAGAUUUUUUUGCACACACUAUUAUGUGAACCUCUAAGCAGGUGUCACUUUUCUGUUUGGUGGUUAUCUAUACAGAAGCUGUUGAGUAAACCUGGGGGGGCUAAAAUUAAAUUAACUGGUCUAUAGACAUCUAAGCCAACAUUGGUACAUAUUUCUGCAAAACUCUGAAAAUAUAUACAUUUUCUUAGAAGUCUAAAUGUUGAGCUGUUUUAGCUGAGAUAGACAAACAUAAAAAUGAGCAGAAAGAACACUGGGAUCAAAUUCGGGAUAUCCCAAUUACUAACAUGUCUUUACUAGAUGAGGUACACAACCACACACUUCAUAAUGUGCAAAUAAUGUAGAAGUCCAGAACGUUUCAUGUGUACCAGUCUUGGUUUCAUUGUCAUUCUGAGUAAAUAAGGACUUACUGUACAGCACAAAUUAAACUCUGUUCCUAAAAUGCCUCAGAGAUAUUCUGUCUGCUGCGUUUUCUCCCUGUAAUGAGGAUCUCUGUCAAAACUGUCCUGCUGCUAUACAGGACAGUUUUAUUUGUACGAAAAUGAGCUGGUCCUCUCUGGUGAUAUUGAGAAAGUGUCUUGUUAACGCACAACCUGUAGAGUUUGAAUGUUCACAACAUUUUAGAUUAAAAUGUGAGUCGUUACCAUCAACUAGUCCAGUACAAAUAUGUAAAUAUGUUGUCAUGUUUACCACUAUUUUCUAAAUCCUUACAUUUCAAAUAAACAAAAAUAGAGGGUCUUUUCCAGCCAAUUUUUAUUUUUACUCCGAUAUCACAACUGAAAGGGAUAAAAUGCCGUCAUAUUCCGUUAAAUGAAGCUGUCUUUAAAAAUCGGGGGUUAUGCUGUGUGGCAUUUUUGGAUAAUUUACAAACGUUUGUGGAACUUACAAAUUUGAAGUCUUUAGCUUAGACUUUUAGACCAAAUUUUGCUUUGUGUAAACUUGCCUCAACUUUGAAAUCGAGUAUAUUGCUCACUGGAUGUUCUCGGAUGUUCUGAGCUGAAACCGCAUUCUCACAUACAGUAACUUUCUAUUAGAAUAGUAAUGCAGUGUAAAAAUUAAUAAAAUAGUGUCUAGUUAAGUAGCAAUAAAUUAAAUUUUUUACAAGCUUAAGCUUUAUAUCAGACUGUGAUUAUGACCAGAAGUUCUUUGCAUGGUCCAUUUUCAGCACAUGUUGCAUGCAGGAAGUUAGUCGGUGUUGCACCUCCUCCUGUUUCAAUUUCCUGUGUAAAUAAUUAACAUGUUCUAUUUAAAUAAUCUCCCAAUGUGAAUCUUUCUCUUGUUUAAAGGUUCACAAAAAGCUUUUGCAUAAACGUCUCUGACAUAUUUGAGAUCGGAGUUUUUUAAGAUAGAAGUUUUUUAAGGUAGAAGUCCACUUUGGUUUUGGCUCUUUCCGACUAGCCAUUAGCUUCAGCCUCCAGGACUAACUAAUCUGAAUUUGUGCUUGAAGAAGACACCAAAGCAGUUAUCUGCUGCAGGUAAGAUAUUUACUGCUUUCUGACAUAGCCCCACUUCCAAAACUCUUAAACAUGAGUGUAUCAGUACGCUCCCCAGCACAGUUUGGUGCAGAUUUCCCUUCAUAGCAUAGCUACUCAAACAUGAUUAUUCGGGUGGGUUUCUAUUUACCUCCACUUCCGAAUUUGGUACAAUAUGGUACAAUAAACGUAUGUCACUCCACAUGACAGAGCCAAAUCUAAAUGUUUUGUUUGGUCUCUGGUUGAUGCGAAUAGAUUAGUAAAGCUGGAAAAACACAUAAUUAUUUUUUAAACCAAGUAUUUUCCUCCUGCACUGUGAUAAAAAAGAAAAAAAAGAUGCUUAUUGUGAAGCUGAGAUAUGACUGGGUUCUCCCUCCUGUGCACUGCCAACCAUGUGUGCUGUAUGCUUUGUUUCUGUCUGUCCUCGAGGCAGUUUAGACUGCUACAUCACUGGCCGCUGUCCUUGUUUUUGUGUGCCGCAGAAGUGAGGGACUGAGCUCCUCUUCAAAGACAGUGUGUCUGAAGACUAUAUAGAUGUAGCUGGUGUGUGUGCGGCACUGUGUUGUGUCAUGGCCACUUUGUUAUGACUUUUAUCUGUUAGCUUCCACUGAUGAUGCAUGUUUGGCAGUGUCUUUGUGUUUUGUCCCCUCUGAUGCACUUGGCCUGAACAAUCUCUGUAUGUACUGUACUGUAGCAGCAUCUCGCCUCCACUCUUUCAUCUGCAUAUGCGUUUUAUGUUUCUCUCUGUUUACAUGCUAAUCCAUCCCCGUCCCUCCGUUUUCACCAUUCUCACAAUUUUUGUCACACUCGUCACGUCCAUUUUGUGUGUCACCAGGACAACCUGCUCUCGUAUGGCUGCACACUAUAAAAAAAAGCAUUAGAUUUUAAUGAAGAGCAGCUAUUUAAAGCAAGUUUUUGGUAGCAUGAUGUGGCUGUGCAUGUACCAGUCCUCUUUUUAACAUUCGUAUUCUCCCUGUGUAGCUCGCCCCAACGUUCAAGUUUCCGGACACCAAGCUGUGAGUUGAAGGGGAGCAGCUGAUGCGAGUGUGUUUGCGUGUGUUGAAUUAGUGCAAAAAGCAGUGGGAAAAUGGUAAAAAGAGAGGGAGAAGGGGCCAACCAGCAUUACUCUGACAUUUAGAUCUCAGUCUGUACACCUGCUUCUCCACUGCCCCUGAGAUGAAUUCCCAACUCAAAGUCAAAAGGUAACUUGUGGUCCCACAUCACUGGCUUAACGGGACCUGUGUAUCACCACUGUCUUGAGAAAGGUCAGACAGAAAGGUCAAGUCUAUUUCCUGGGCCUCCGUGUGACUUGCGGAUCCAGUCAUGUAGGUACUGUUAUCAGUAGAGCACUGUAGACCGCUAGUAAUAUAAACCAUUAAUGAGAAUUUCCAUUGAUCCAGGUCUACUGAAGAUAACAAGAGUGAGAUUUGAUAAGGGGUAAAAAAAUGUAGAACAAAAUCUGUUCCAGCAUACAAUGCUUUGCCCAUAUUUGUGGUCAGAGUAUGGCUUGUUGAAAAUGUGAUACUGUUUUAAAUUUCAAAGCAAUAUUAUAUUCAUGAUAUUAAAUAAUACAACGACUAAAGAAACCCUCUCAGAUCUGUUGUCAGCAUUGAUUUUCUUUACAUAGCUGAGCAGUUAAAAACAGACACAAUUACACCAGCUCUCCGAAAUCAAAAGUGACAUUACAAGAUGGUAAUUAUUGUACAAUUGUGCUUUCAUUGUUUUCCCUCGCUGAACGAGAUUAGUGGGUGGUGCAACUUCUAAUCUAAACAAACGAUUAGCCCCGUUUGUGCCUCUCAUGUACUUUAUUAUUUUCAAGUUGUGGAGCUGAGCUCUUGCUGAUCUUUGGGGAAAAAAAGUUAAAACAAAGAUUAGUGUAGCUGCGUCAGCCUUGUUGGCGUUCACAGAACCUUUAAAGUCAAACAAGUACGAGCAAAGAAUAUAAAUGUGAAGUGAUUGGUUUUAGCGGUAACAGGGAAUAACUUAAAUUACUUAUACAAUAUUGCUUUGUAUUUUUCGUGUGCUUUACUAAAGAUGUAAAAAAAAAUAUAUAAUCUCCAUAACAACUUCAGUAAAGUUUUAGCUCAAGAAAAAAUCUUUGUGGUACAGCAGAGUGAGCAUUUGCCGUUUAGGAUCCUGAUGAAUUGUUAAAAGACCUGAUAUGUUUGAGGCUUUCUGAACAUUUAGCUUGCAGCUAAUGCACAGCUCUGUAACUUCCCAUCCAUUCCAGUGAGACACAGAAACAUUCACUCAAAGGUAAAGGAGCAAUCCCUGUUUUUGCAUGUUGCACUUCGUUUAUUGAAACUCCUUAACAAAAAAAGUCAAAUUUCAUUACUAAAAUAUGUAAAAGUGCUCAACUGGAUGGAGUUUUCUGGAGGUUUCUAGCAGUUUUGUUGCAGAACAACAAAAUAAAGAAAUAGCCUAAAUAAUAUUAAUCAGAUUUUUGAAACUUGCUUAUAAACUUCAAUCUUGAGUCACGAUGUUACAUAAUCUAUCAGUUAGCUUUGUUAUUUUGGAUUUUUUUUAAGUUUAUGAUAUUGAUUUAUUUUUUAUACCUUGAAGAGCCCAACCAAGGACUUAGUGGUGAAAUUAGGCGUUGAUCAGAAGGCUAUAUACAAGGCAACAGAUAUUGCCUAUGUACUGUUCCUAAGUACAAAUACAAAAUUAAUAAAAUAAAAAAUAACUCUUUCAUCUGCGUUAAGUUUUUAGUCAACAUUGUAAUUGUCUUAUUUACAGGGAACAAUAAACACAUUAUAAUAACGUUCAUAAACCAGUUGGUAUUUUAAUCUAUUACAAAUCUGUCUGAAUGGAUAAAUUAUUAUUAUUUUUUUACAUGCAACAGCAUAUACACAAUGUUAAAAAAGAAUAGAAGAAAAAAAACAAGAAAAGUGAGAUUCUGUACAAAUCUGGUACAUAAUUAAGGGGUUGGGAGAAGUAUGAACUUAUAAUGGUCCACACUUUUACCAGACACAUCUUCACACUGAUCUGUUCCUGUUUACAUUAAAUUCUUAAUAUUGUGCAACAAAUUACGUAUUUCCUUUCAAUAUUAUCCACAUAAAUAUUAACUACAUAGUCCACCUAAUAGUUCUGUCUGAAUUUCCAAGCCCAGCUCCUUCAAAGAGUGCCGUUUCAAGGGAUGAGUCAUCACAAGGGACUGAUCAACCAAUCAGAAGCGGACUUGUGAGAACUAUGUCACAUUAGACAGCCAAUGAUAAGGGAUUCCACAAUUUUUCUAAAAUGCCUUCUUUUGAUGUCAUGGAAAUCUCAGUUUAAAAAAAACAAAAGUUAACAAUCUGUCACUUUAAUUUUAAUAACUGCCUUAUUAAUGAGGUUGUAUUCAUAUUUAACCAUUUCAAAUCAUUUUCCUGAAUCAAGGACAGGUUGACAUUCAAAACUUGUAUUAUUAUUCACAAAAGUGAAAUUUAACUUCUAACUUUUAAUUAUUUUAUUGCUUUCCAAAUUUCUUAAUAAAAUAAAAUUUGACUAUUAACUUAGAAAUUUUUUUUGUUUUGUUUAAUUUGACGAGCAUCUUUUACAAUAACCAUGAAAACACUUUUUUUUGGUAGACUGCCACACCAUUGGUGGAAAUGAGUGAUUGUUUAGACUAAAUCUAGAGGCAAGCAAAGCUAUUUGACAUGAUGUGGAAAAAUAGAGAUCAUGUUGAAGAAAUGUCAAAUCCAAGGUGUGUGCACUUCACAGGGGAAAAAUAUUUCCCCAUACACUCGAUUCUUAAAAAAAGCAAAGCUAAAAAUCUUGAAUACAUUUAAAUCAAACCCAACUAAAAUUUGCAGCUGUGGUGCAUUUGUUUAUUGAGUCACAUUGUUUUUCCUGUAACCUAAUAAGGAUCCUUGAUCAAAAACAGCCCUUUGAGAUGACACCUCCAUCUGAAUGGUUUGCUUGGGCUACCUUGGAGCUGAGGGCCACUGGUCAAAAACUGACUUAUAAUUUUAUAAUUAAACCCAAAAAUGUGACUAAAACUAAUGCUGCUCAGUGUCGGCAUCACAUUAAUCACUGCUCACAGCCUGUAAAGUCGUAAGCAAACAGCAGAUCACAUUUUUUUUUCUAAAAGAAAAUAGCAGAGUAAGAAAAGAAACAAGACAUAACCAAACACUUAGUUCUUUUAUUAGAAAAAGAAACCCCAAAAUAGAAUAUUACACUAAUGAAGAUCAUCUGCAGGAUAUUUUUUCCCAGUUCAUUACUUUUAAAUACUUUUCUCUAAGAUUUUUUUUUGGUAGAUUUAUUUAUUUAUCCGUUCUGUGAUGUGAGCUGUGUGAAUGGCUGAAAAAUAUGAAAAAAGAAGCUUUUUGUUUCCCAAUAAAACCCUGUUUAGUAACAUGUUUCCCUCUCUAACAGUAUAUUUCUGGUUUGUAAUCAAAGGUGCAAAACAUAAAGACUAAAAAGAAAUAAAUGGAAAGUGCACAACGCCUUUGGUAAUUCAUACAUAAACAUUCAUCAACAGAAAACAAGGUAAAGCUUAGUAUAAAGUAUUAUUUACAACAUUUUAGCAUAUAUUUUUGUUACUUGUGUUUUAACAUUUUGGUUUGUUUGUGUUUGUUUCUGCUACAUAUCCUUCCUUAAUGUUUUGUGAACACAUUAUUUGUUAGAAUUCAGUAACUGCCUUAUGCUUUUCCCCUGACUCUAAUCCUGAUGUUUGAGAAAAUAUUGUUUCUACAGACUGUAAAUGUCAUUAAACAAAAGGAAUUCAA